rnacentral:lncRNA from 1 species
CAGAAGUCAGGUCGGAUUAAGCCAUAGUACGGAAAAAACUAUGCUACCUGUGAGCCCCGUCCAAGGACGUUAAAAGAAGUCAGGCCAUCACAAGUGCCAUAGCUUGAGUAAACUAUGCAGCCUGUAGCUCCACCUGAGAAGGUGUAAAAAAUCUGGGAGGCCACAAACCAUGGAAGCUGUACGCAUGGCGUAGUGGACUAGCGGUUAGAGGAGACCCCUCCCUUACAAAUCGCAGCAACAAUGGGGGCCCAAGGUGAGAUGAAGCUGUAGUCUCACUGAAAGGACUAGAGGU